CACGGCUCUGACAGUUGCUAGUUUCACCCCGGCCACGGCGUCGUCGUUGGCGAGUCACAUCCCUAGAGAGUGGGACACGUGAAAUUCACAGCUGCGGAUUAAAAAUAGAAAACGGCCCUGGGUUUCAUUUUUGUUUUGGAAAAUUAAAUUAGCCCUCGUGAAGCUGCCAGCUUGAACAGCGCCCUGGGAAAUGGUGAUCUCCACGUUUCCACGGAGGAAGCGGCUGCGACUUGGGAUUCCCCCGAUCUCUCAAGAUGAGAAGGCAUUGUUUUUCGUUCGGCAGCGGAGACCGGUUUUACGGGGACAUAUCUCCAUCAACUUUUGAAAUGACUGCUGCGCUUUAAGCAAUCUGUCCUAGAGAGAUUAAGUAUUAGGUUGGUCUGCAUAUUGUCUUCUGAGAAAAGCUUUUCCACAGCAAUUGUCCAAGCAGUGCAUACACUUCAAGAGCUCUGUUGUUGGACAAAUCCGAUCACACAGCCUUUAGGAAAACAGAAAAGAAGACGCAAUUUUACGCAAAGAACGACCAACUCCAAGUGGCAGUGAGCUGUGGAUCCACAUAACGAAAGCAAAUCCACACAUAAAAAGAAACACCAUAUUUUCUUUGUUCAGAAUUGCUUUUUGUGUUGCGAAGGAAUUUAAUUAGCGCAGUUACGGGCAAAAUCCCUUAUUCAUGUAAAGAUUGAGGAUUUGAAGAAGGCGAGAUGACCGGCUAAUCCUAUACAAUAAGUAAACAUUUAUUUAUGACACUGC